AGCGAACGCUGGCGGCAGGCCUAACACAUGCAAGUCGAACGAUCUCUUCGGAGUUAGUGGCGGACGGGUGAGUAACACGUGGGAACGUGCCUUUUGGUUCGGCAUAACUCAGGGAAACUUGUGCUAAUACCGAAUGUGCCCUUCGGGGGAACGAUUUAUCGCCAUUAGAGCGGCCCGCGUCUGAUUAGCUAGUUGGUGAGGUAACGGUGCACCAAGGGGGCGAUAAGUAGCUGGUCUGAGAGGAUGACCAGCCACACUGGGACUGAGACACGGACCAGACUCCUACGGGAGGCAGCAGUGGGGAGUCUUGCGCAAUGGGCGAAAGCCUAACGUAGCCAUGCCGCGUGAAUGAUGAAGGUCUUAGGAUUGUAAAAUUCUUUCAACGGGGACGAUAAUGACGGUACCCGGAGAAGAAGCCCCGGCUAACUUCGUG
rnacentral:rRNA from 1 species